rnacentral:rRNA from 1 species
GACGAACGCUGGCGGCGUGCCUAAUACAUGCAAGUCGAACGCUGAAGGAGGAGCUUGCUUCUCUGGAUGAGUUGCGAACGGGUGAGUAACGCGUAGGUAACCUGCCUGGUAGCGGGGGAUAACUAUUGGAAACGAUAGCUAAUACCGCAUAAUAUUGACUAUUGCAUGAUAGUCAGUUGAAAGGUGCAACUGCACCACUACCAGAUGGACCUGCGUUGUAUUAGCUAGUUGGUGGGGUAACGGCUCACCAAGGCGACGAUACAUAGCCGACCUGAGAGGGUGAGCGGCCACACUGGGACGGAGACACGGCCCAGACUCCUACGGGAGGCAGCAGUAGGGAAUCGUCGGCAAUGGACGGAAGACUGACCGAGCAACGCCGCGGGAGGGAAGAAGGUUUUCGGAUCGUAAAGCUCGGUUGUAAGAGAAGAACGAGUGUGAGAGUGGAAAGCUCACACUGUGACGGUAUCUUACCAGAAAGGGACGGCUAACUACGUG